UGCGGAGGGUGCGAGCGUUAAUCGGAAUUACUGGGCGUAAAGCGUACGUAGGCGGUUGGUUAAGUUAGAUGUGAAAGCCCCGGGCUUAACCUGGGAACUGCAUUUAAAACUGGCGAACUAGAGUUGAGUAGAGGGGAGUGGAAUUUCAGGUGUAGCGGUGAAAUGCGUAGAGAUCUGAAGGAACACCAGUGGCGAAGGCGACUCCCUGGACUCGAACUGACGCUGAGGUACGAAAGCGUGGGUAGCAAACGGGAUUAGAUACCCCAGUAGUCC
rnacentral:rRNA from 1 species